AUGGGGUCAGUGCUGUGUCCUGUUCAGGGACAUCCUAUUGCUGUGGGGUCAGUGCUGCACCCCAUUCCAGGACACCCCAUUGCUGUUGGGACAGAGCUGUGCCCCAUUUGGGGACAUCCAUUGCUAUCGGGACAUUGCUAUGGGGACAGUGCCGUGCCCCUCUUUAGGGCACCCCAUUGCUAUGGGGACACUGCUGUGGGGACAAUGCUAUGGGAUCAAUGCUGUGUCCCAUUUCAGGACACCCUGUUGCUAUGGAGACAUUGCUGUGCCCCACUUUGGAGCACCCCAUUGCUGUGGGGACAGCACUGCGUCCCUCUUUGGGGCACCCCAUUGCUGUGGGGACAUUGCUGUGCCCUGCUCCAGGACACUCCAUUGCUGUGGAGUCAGUGCUAUGGGGACAGUGCUGUGUCCCACUCCAGGACACCCCAUUGCUAUGGGGACAGUGCUGUGACCCCCACUCUGGGACACCUCAUUGCUUUGGGGACAUUGCUGUGCCCCAUUCUGGGACAUCCAUUGCUAUGGGGACAGCGCUGCGCCCCUCUUUGGGACCCCCCAUGGUUGUGGGUACAGCACAGCUCCCACCCCUCCUCUGCCCCCAACGUCCCCCCUGGCUCGUGGAGCACGGCAAGCACCGAGCCCUGGAGGGAGAGGACUUGGGGAGGGCUCAGAGCUGCACCCCAACCGCAGGGACCCCUCCAGCAUCCCCCCGCCCCAUUCCUUCUGCCCCCCUGGGAGCGGGGAGCCCGGCCAGCAGCAUCACUCCAACACUGGGGGGAGGCGGGGAGGGGAGAGGUGGGGGGGGGAGCCGUGGCAUCGCGCCCGCGCCGGGGGCCGAGCCAACAACACAACUCUGCCAGGACGGACAGACAGACAGACAGACGGCCGUGGGUCAGCGCACCGAGCGGGGCGAAGGGUUUGUUGUGUCUGCGGUCAGCCCAAGGAUUUUCCCAGGCCCCAAAGCGCUCGCAGCCACCCCGGGGCAGGGGGAGGAAGGAUGCUGGGGGGCUCCGCACACGCAUGUGCGCACGGCUGUUGGCGUGA
rnacentral:lncRNA from 1 species